GACAGAGGGUGCAAACGUUGUUCGGAAUUACUGGGCGUAAAGCGCGUGUAGGCGGCCCUGCAAGUCGGGUGUGAAAUCCCAUGGCUCAACCAUGGAAGUGCAUUCGAAACUGCAGGGCUAGAGUCCUGGAGAGGAAGGUGGAAUGCUUGGUGUAGAGGUGAAAUUCGUAGAUAUCAAGCGGAACACCGGUGGCGAAGGCGGCCUUCUGGACAGUGACUGACGCUGAGACGCGAAAGCGUGGGGAGCAAACAGG
rnacentral:rRNA from 1 species